rnacentral:tRNA from 1 species
AGGGGUGUAGUUCAGCCUGGUAGAACAAUGGUCUCCAAAACCAUGUGCCGUGGGUUCAAAUCCUGCCACCCCUGCCA